CUACGGGCUGCACCAGUGAGGAAUAUUGCACAAUGGGGGGAACCCUGAUGCAGCAACGCCGCGUGGAGGAUGACGCAUUUCGGUGUGUAAACUCCUUUUAUAUGUCAAGAAAAUGACGGUAGCAUAUGAAUAAGCACCGGCUAGACUCCGUGCCAGCAGCCGCGGUAAUACGGAGGGUGCAAGCGUUACUCGGAAUCACUGGGCGUAAAGGACGCGUAGGCGGGUUGGAAAGUCAGGUGUGAAAUCCUACAGCUUAACUGUAGAACUGCACUUGAAACUUCUAAUCUAGAGUAUGGGAGGGGUAGAUGGAAUUAGUGGUGUAGGGGUAAAAUCCGUAGAUAUCACUAGGAAUACCUAAAGCGAAGGCGAUCUCCUGGAACAUUACUGACGCUAAGGCGUGAAAGCGUGGGGAGCAAACAGGAUUAGAUACCCUAGUAGUC
rnacentral:rRNA from 1 species